rnacentral:rRNA from 1 species
UUCGCCCUUGUGCCAGCAGCCGCGGUCAUACGUAGAGUGCGAGCGUUAAUCGGAAUUACUGGGCGUACAGCGUGCGCAGGCGGUGAUGGACGACAGUUGUGACAUCCCCGGGCUCUACCCGGGAACUGCAUCUGUGAAUGCAUCGCUGGAGUACGGCAGAGGGGGAUGGAAUUCCGCGUGUAGCAGUGAAAUGCGUAGAUAUGCGGAGGAACACCGAUGGCGAAGGCAAUCCCCUGGGCCUGUACUGACGCUCAUGCACGAAAGCGUGGGGAGCAAACAGGAUUAGAUACCCUGGUAGUCCACGCCCUAAACGAUGUCAACUGGUUGUUGGGUCUUCACUGACUCAGUAACGAAGCUAACGCGUGAAGUUGACCGCCUGGGGAGUACGGCCGCAAGGUUGAAACUCACAGGAUUUGACGGGGACCCGCACAAGCGGUGGAUGAUGUGGUUUAAUUCGAUGCAACGCGAAAAACCUUACCCACCUUUGACAUGUACGGAAUCCUUUAGAGAUAGAGGAGUGCUCGAAAGAGAGCCGUAACACAGGUGCUGCAAGGCUGUCGUCAGCUCGUGUCGUGAGAUGUUGGGUUAAGUCCCGCAGCGAG